rnacentral:misc_RNA from 1 species
GAUGAAGAACGCAGCGAAAUGCGAUAAGUAAUGUGAAUUGCAGAAUUCAGUGAAUCAUCGAAUCUUUGAACGCACAUUGCGCCCCCUGGUAUUCCGGGGGGCAUGCCUGUUCGAGCGUCAUUUCAACCUUCAAGCUCUGCUUGGUAUUGGGCCUGCGCUGGUCUCCCAGCGGGCCUCAAAAUCAGUGGCGGUGCCAUCUGGCUUCAAGCGUAGUAGCUAAACCUCGCUUCGGAGCUCCGGGUGGCAGCUUGCCAGCGAACCCCAAUUCUCACAAGGUUGACCUCGGAUCAGGUAGGAUUACCCGCUGAACUUAAGCAUAUCAAUAAGCGGAGGA